rnacentral:rRNA from 1 species
UACGAAGGGGGCUAGCGUUGCUCGGAAUCACUGGGCGUAAAGGGCGCGUAGGCGGAUCUUUAAGUCGGGGGUGAAAGCCCAGGGCUCAACCCUGGAAUUGCCUUCGAUACUGAAGAUCUUGAGUCCGGGAGAGGUGAGUGGAACUCCGAGUGUAGAGGUGAAAUUCGUAGAUAUUCGGAAGAACACCAGUGGCGAAGGCGGCUCACUGGCCCGGUACUGACGCUGAGGUGCGAAAGCGUGGGGAGCAAACAGG